rnacentral:rRNA from 1 species
UACGUAGGGAGCAAGCGUUGUUCGGAUUUACUGGGCGUAAAGGGUGCGUAGGCGGCGCGGUAAGUCGGGUGUGAAAUCUCGGGGCUUAACUCCGAAACUGCAUUCGAUACUGCCGUGCUUGAGGACUGGAGAGGAGACUGGAAUUUACGGUGUAGCGGUGAAAUGCGUAGAUAUCGUAAGGAAGACCAGUGGCGAAGGCGGGUCUCUGGACAGUUCCUGACGCUGAGGCACGAAGGCCAGGGGAGCAAACGGG